GGGUUGUGCCCUGGCUUUGACCUUGUACACAGCGUUCCUUUACUCUCAAUUUGACACGCUAACACAUUUUCCCUUGUUUCCGCAUCCUCCCGCCUCACACCCUCUCCCCUUUAGAAGAACCCCACCUAUAUAUACUGUGGCGAGGAAAGCAUACGUCGCCUUGAAGAAGACAAGUCCACUUGUCGAAACGUUGGCUCUUGCAUUCACCUUGUUCACGUUUUGCUCAAGUUCCACAUCUGUGAUACUAACGGUGUCUGAAUAAGAGGGCUCAUCCUCGCCUGGUAACACUAGCGGAGUAGUGUCUGUCGACUGAUCUACAAAUGUACAAGGCGUCUCUACCUCUAUGAUAGGCAUUUGAGGUGUGCCGUUAGGUACUGAGGACUGCAUCGGUGUCUUAGUGGUCUGCAUUAUUUGCAUCAUCUGACUGGAAAUGAUUUGCGCUAAGCAAUCAGAUAGGCUGGAUAUAAAUUUAUCCAUAGCUUUGGCCAUUGCUUUUUCCACAGCAGAGCCAAUUGCUUCCGAGAGACUAAGAUCCAUACUUGAAGUGUUGCGCACUGUAACACCAGAGUAUCUGAGGCCCUGUCUUUAACAACUGCAAUAGCAUCUCAUCAGAAGCAGCGACGGCGGUCGAUUACUUCAAGAAUUUGUAUUUCUUGAGCGCGAGCUGAGUAGUUCAAAUAGUCUGCUGGGUGUGUUCCCCCACAGAGGCAGCACUUUUGAGAUUGUGCAGAGCAUUCACUUGAAGCGUGACCAUCUCCACAGCUGCGGCAACGCAAGCUCGACUUACAUCCUCUUGCGCUGUGCCCAAAUCUCCAACAAUACUGACAUUUGAUUGGAUGUGACGCGAGUGGUUCUACACGAAACACAAAAGGCCAUGCCUUUAUUUCUGACGGACAUGAUGUGCCCACAAACGUUGCAAUUACUGAUUCUGUCGGAACCCUCUCGUUAGUUACCAGUCGAUUGCAAUGGUAAAUAAUAAUGACGCCUGCUGUGGAGAGCUUGUCCAGGGUUUCAGUUGGACUUAAUCGGAAGUCUAUGCCCCAUACGAGACCCUUGGUGCACGCAAUGUGAGACGGGUAGCACUUCUUCCGGUAAGUGAAAUACUUUGCACUUCGUUUUUCAUCCACAAUGUGAAUAUUUUUAGGUGUUACCCACGACAAUUCUGGAUGGUUUGGCUCUUCUGCCCUGUGAGUUUUCAUGAUCUUUAUUUUUACAGCAGAGUUCUGCUCGUUAGUCUUUAUGGUUAAAGCAGCACAAAUCAACCAAAGGGGGUGCAUGCUAAAAAGACACGCUGGCUGUGUGUGUAUAUAUAUAUAUAUAUGAACCGCAAUCUUUACUUGGUUUAUACAAUUCCAUAUGCCAUUGGCUGCUGAUGUAAAAAUUUCACUGGUUUUUUGUUACAGAUAAGCUGCAAAACUUGUAGCCUAGUAGGUGCUUCAUCUGGGAGUGCAAUCACGACUGCGUGGCUUUUCUUCAUGAAUGACUGUGGGCCACCUCAUUUGUAAUUGCAAAUCUGUCUUUCAACUGGCUUAAUGCUCUCUUAUUUUGUUCUUUUCACUGUAUAGACGGCUGGACAUCCUUCAUGUCCCUUGGCGCUAGCUAGAUGACGGGACCUCAUCAUGAUCAGUAUAUUGCUUGCCUGUGCCUACAAGAACUGCUGUGUUCAGACAGAAGAACCUUCACGCGGCACCUAUGACAGCAAGCUUUUGUGGGCAGCCAGUGCUGGCCUGCUCUGGCAGUGGCAGCAAUCAUCUUCAAGAUCCAUGCAUGAUCACCUUUGCUGCUGUUUGUCACUCUUGUUAAUUACACUUUCUGCAUCUUUUCUAAUUUAUUAGGUAAUAAAGUUUGACUAUGUCACAUGGUGUGAA